rnacentral:rRNA from 1 species
UACAGAGGGUGCGAGCGUUAAUCGGAAUUACUGAGCGUAAAGCGUGCGUAGACGGCUAUCUAAGUCGGGUGUGAAAGCCCCGGGCUCAACCUGGGAAUUGCAUUCGAGACUGAAUAGCUAGGGUACGGUAGAGGGAAGUGGAAUUUCCGGUGUAGCGGUGAAAUGCGUAGAUAUCGGAAGGAACAUCAGUGGCGAAAGCGACUUCCUGGACCAGUACCGACGUUCAGGCACGAAAGCGUGGGGAGCAAACAGG